CCCACCUCUCCCCACACCUGUCCACCCUGUGUGUGACAGUCUGUUAAUCCUUCCGAAAGCCAUGCAGUUUAGAUUCCCCUGUGCUCGGAAAUACUUAAUGGCCUCCGCGGUGGCUCCGUAGAAAAAGCCCAAACGUUGAAAUUUUGCUGUAAGGUCCUUUAGGAUCGGGCCCUAAGUUCCUUAUUCAACUUUAUCUGUCUCUUUACAACCACUAGGAACCUUCGAUCUUGGUUACAUUCGUUGAUCGUUUGUAGCUCGCUGCAAGGAUCACAUUGCAAACCUCCAAGUCGGUGGAAAUCAUUAUUUUUAUAAUGUGAGACCACAGAGAACGAGGUUAAGGAUAAACACCAAUGGACGUAUGGAAGUAACAAACCUAUUUCAAGAUUUAAUGGCUGUUUCUAACUCCACACAUACCAGCACAAUCUUCCUGAGUAACUCCUUGGUCGCAAAAGAGGGAUGUGACCCAAUCCAUCUUACCUGGAAGCCAAAGUUCACACCAUGUAGGAACUUCUGUUUCAGGUUCUACUGCAGACAUGAUCUUUUCUGCCUUUCUCUUCAAUUUUAAAGAUUGACCUGGCUUCAGAGACCUGCUGCCCUGAUGUGCUGUCUACAACGGCGUAAGAACAGUCUGCAAAUUUGAGUCAUCACCGAUUUUUGCUUUGUGGCCCUUCCUUCCUUCCUUCUUUCCUUCCUUCCUUCCCUCCUUAUGCAGCUUUGCAAUCAGUUAAACCAUCUAUGAAAUUGCAAUGACCUAAUGCAUCAUUUAGGCAUAAACAAAUUUUGGCUCAGAAAUUAUUUCUCAAAACCUCUUUUUUGAGUUGUCACUUCAGCACAUAUUCCUGUCAAGCACUGACCUCUUACUGAUUCUUAAUUUCUUUUGAGGCAGCCAGAGAUAGUAGUUACCUCUUCACCAAAGGAGAAACCAUAGGGGAAAAUGACCCGGUGAAGACUGCUGGUUUUCCAUUCUUCGGUUCAAUCACUUCGGUUCAUCGGGGAAAUAAAACUGUCAGCACAACAUCUCUGGGCACAGAGGACAUGGGUAGGGUGUGUGAUUCAAAGGAUUGCCUACGGCUAAAGCCACUGUGUAAGCUUUAAUUAACUGGGACAGCCAGGGGCAGGUACUGUAGAAAGAAACACUAUCAUUAUUGAUGUUAAUUUUUUAUGUGAAUAUUGGGAAACUCCUGGAUGCAUUGUUCCAUAAUUAAUUUUCUUAUAAGUUAUGAAUGUCCUAGGAUAUCCCCUAAAGGAGAGCUGGAGAGAGCGAUUCAUUUAAGUCAGUUUAGUUUUUAGAGGCUCUUCCUGUAGCCAUAUAUUUAUGACUACAGUUGAGUUUUGGUUUCUUGUGUGGCUUUCUGGAGCCUAGAAUAACUUUGCCUUAAGAUGGAAACGGUUAAUGAUUACGACUAUGCUUUUUCAGAAUAGUUUAAGUUCCUUGGGUGCAUUUUUAGGCUGCAGGCUGAAGCACGAUGAACGGAACUUGCAGUUGCGUUGGAGUUUGAACCAGUUAUUGCAGGAAACACACAGUUUCAUUGCACAGGAACGAUUGAUUAAAUCAUUGACGGUUGGAGACUGAACUGAAUCUCUGGCACCACUUCUUUUCCUGGAAACGGUGAAAGUUCUCACGCUCUGAUCAAUGCUUGGUUCCCUCGGGGGACCAGUCUCCAUCUCGAAGCUAUCCAGGGGCCCCGCCAGUCAUCUCAUCAGCACGAACCCAGAUUUCAAAUUACCUAGUAACCCUGACCUGCUGUGUAAGAGAAAGAUUGAAGACCGUCUGUGCACGUGUUGUGGGGACAAACACCUGCAGCGCUCUGAACCUGCCUCAGUUCCAGGGGUCACAGAGCAUCUUCCACUCAGCAGCUUCCUCACCAAUAUGCGAUUUCAGGUCCACAGACAAUGUGAGCCAAGUGCUGCAGCAGGAGGCAGUGGCCCCCCGGCCAGGGCCCAGCACAGAGCCUAGCAAAGGAAACACAGGAAGGAGAGGUGAAAAAGGUGAGCUGUGCCGCGGAUCAGCGAUCCUUUCACCUAGAGAUGGUCGAGCGGGGCAUGCCUGCCUCAUACCACAGAAGCACACUCUCCAAGGGUGCACUGGAAUCCUGGAGAGUUUUUAGAUGAUUCGGCUUCUGGAUUCUCAACUGUGUAUUAUCUUCCUUGGAAAGUGAUCGGCCUCAGACCAUGCUCUGAGCGUGCCCGGUGGCUCCCCUUCCCACCUCUUCUCACAUCUCGUUUCUGCUGCUUACAAAGAACAGCGUGGCCCUCCCAUAUGACAGCCCUUACUAUGCAAGCUUGUUCAUGAUGAAAACAUCUUGGGAAGGCCACAGCCCGGACGACUCAGAAUGCCAUGUACGUGUCAGGGAAGUCUCUUAAUCCAGACUCCCAAACCUCACCUGUCCCUCUUAUUAAACAAUGUAUUUCCAAAAAAAAUUACUUUUUAUUGCUUAUUAAGUACCAAAACUAAUAGGUGCUAUGUUGUCUUGAUCAUUUGUGGACUAAUAAAUAAUAUUAUUGGUUCCUGAAA